GACGAACGCUGGCGGCGUGCUUAACACAUGCAAGUCGAACGGAUAUGCCCCUUUGGGGGUACUCGAGUGGCGAACGGGUGAGUAACACGUGGGUAACCUACCCUGGACGUCGGGUUAACAUCAGGGAACUGGGGCUAAUACCGGCUGGUAAUACUUGCGGCAUGUUGGGGUUUGGGAAGCUUCGGCGGAUUUGGAUGGACUCUCGGCUUAUGAGCUUGUUGGUGGGGUAGUGGUUUACCAAGGCUUUGGCGGGUAGCCGGCCUGGGAGGGCGACCGGCCACAAUGGGACUGAGAUACGGCGCAGAAGCCUACGGGAGGCAGCAGUGGGGAGUAUUGCACAACGGGCGGAAGCCUGAGGCAGCAACGCCGCGUGCGGGAUGCCGGCCUUCGGGUUGUAAACCGGUUUCAGCAGGGGCGAUGCUUGUGGUGACGGUACCUGCAGAAGAAGCACCGGCUAACUACGUG
rnacentral:rRNA from 1 species